CUUGCUUCUCUUGAGAGCGGCGGACGGGUGAGUAAUGCCUAGGAAUCUGCCUGGUAGUGGGGGAUAACGUUCGGAAACGGACGCUAAUACCGCAUACGUCCUACGGGAGAAAGCAGGGGACCUUCGGGCCUUGCGCUAUCAGAUGAGCCUAGGUCGGAUUAGCUAGUUGGUGAGGUAAUGGCUCACCAAGGCGACGAUCCGUAACUGGUCUGAGAGGAUGAUCAGUCACACUGGAACUGAGACACGGUCCAGACUCCUACGGGAGGCAGCAGUGGGGAAUAUUGGACAAUGGGCGAAAGCCUGAUCCAGCCAUGCCGCGUGUGUGAAGAAGGUCUUCGGAUUGUAAAGCACUUUAAGUUGGGAGGAAGGGUUGUAGAUUAAUACUCUGCAAUUUUGACGUUACCGACAGAAUAAACACCGGCUAACUCUGUGCCAGCAGCCGCGGGAAUACAGAGGGUGCAAGCGUUAAUCGGAAUUACUGGGCGUAAAGCGCGCCUACGUGGUUGUUAGUUGGAUGUGAAAUCCCCCGCUCAACCUGGAACUGCAUUCAAAACUGACUGACUACAGUAUGGAGAAGGCGGCGGGAUUUC
rnacentral:rRNA from 1 species